rnacentral:rRNA from 1 species
AUACGGAGGAUCCGAGCGUUAUCCGGAUUUAUUGGGUUUAAAGGGUGCGCAGGCGGCCAUUUAAGUCAGCGGUUAAAUCGUGGGGCUCAACCCCAUUCUGCCGUUGAUACUGGGUGGCUUGAUUGCGGUCGAGGUUGGCGGAAUUCGUUGUGUAGCGGUGAAAUGCAUAGAUAUGACGAAGAACACCGAUUGCGUAGGCAGCUGACCAGGUCGCAAAUGACGCUCAUGCACGAAAGUGCGGGGAUCGAACAGGAUUAGAUACCCUGGUAGUCCGCACAGUAAACGAUGAUGGCUAACCGCUGGGCUUAUCAGUUCAGUGGCCAAGCGAAAGCGAUAAGCCAUCCACCUGGGGAGUACGACCGCAAGGUUGAAACUCAAAUGAAUUGACGGGG